rnacentral:lncRNA from 1 species
UUAUUAAUGGCUCUCCUACUAGGAGCCUGACAUCAUGGUGAGCAUCGAGAAAGGAAUAACCUAAGCUGAAGACACGCCUUUUCAGGAGGCCAAGUUCCACGUUCUGUGCAUGCUUUUGGCGAAAGUCAGGCCAGGCACUACUCUGUCCCAACAAUAAGCCCUGUA